AUUGAACGCUGGCGGCAGGCUUAACACAUGCAAGUCGAGCGGGGUGAUGGUGCUUGCACUAUCACUUAGCGGCGGACGGGUGAGUAAUGCUUAGGAAUCUGCCUAUUAGGGGGGGACAACAUCUCGAAAGGGAUGCUAAUACCGCAUACGUCCUACGGGAGAAAGCAGGGGAUCACUUGUGACCUUGCGCUAAUAGAUGAGCCUAAGUCGGAUUAGCUAGUUGGUGGGGUAAAGGCCUACCAAGGCGACGAUCUGUAGCGGGUCUGAGAGGAUGAUCCGCCACACUGGGACUGAGACACGGCCCAGACUCCUACGGGAGGCAGCAGUGGGGAAUAUUGGACAAUGGGGGGAACCCUGAUCCAGCCAUGCCGCGAGUGUGAAGAAGGCCUUAUGGUUGUAAAGCACUUUAAGCGAGGAGGAGGCUCUUUUGGUUAAUACCCAAGAUGAGUGGACGUUACUCGCAGAAUAAGCACCGGCUAACUCUGUGCCAGCAGCCGCGGUAA
rnacentral:rRNA from 1 species